UUGUGUGUACAUACUGUCCUGCAGGGGGAUGAAGGUGUAGUUUGUUGUGUGUAUAUACUGACCUACAGGGGUCUGAAGGUGUAGUUUGUUGUGUAGUUUGUUGUGUGUACAUACUGUCCUGCAGGGGGAUGAAGGUGUAGUUUGUUGUGUGUAUAUACUGACCUACAGGGGUCUGAAGGUGUAGUUUGUUGUGUGUACAUACUGUCCUGCAGGGGGCUGAAGGUGUAGU